AAGGGGAUCUCCGAGUGCCAGCAUUAUUAAUGUUGGCUUGUCCAGUAUGCCUAAAAAGCAUCUGUUAGCAAGGGCCGGGCAAGAACCGGUGCCAGCCGCCGCGGUAACACCGGCGGCCCGAGUGGUAACCGCUAUUAUUGGGUCUAAAGGGUCUGUAGCCGGCCAGGUAAGUCCCUUGGGAAAUCCGGCAGCUCAACUGUCAGGCUGCUAGGGGAUACUGUUUGGCUUGGGACCGGGAGAGGUGAGAGGUACCUUGGGGGUAG
rnacentral:rRNA from 1 species